rnacentral:rRNA from 1 species
UACGAAGGGGGCUAGCGUUGUUCGGAAUCACUGGGCGUAAAGCGCACGUAGGCGGAUCUUUAAGUCAGGGGUGAAAUCCCGAGGCUCAACCUCGGAACUGCCUUUGAUACUGGGGAUCUCGAGUCCGGGAGAGGUGAGUGGAACUGCGAGUGUAGAGGUGAAAUUCGUAGAUAUUCGCAAGAACACCAGUGGGGAAGGCGGCUCACUGGCCCAUUACUGACGCUGAGGCACGAAAGCGUGGGGAGCAAACAGG